rnacentral:rRNA from 1 species
UGAGGAACAUGUCCUUCGGCGGGGAAGUAGCCGGCCUAACGGCCGGGUAAUUCCGCGUACGACGGUUGGGGCGCAUGCCUCGGCCGUGAAAGCAGCAAUGCGCCGAUGGAGUGCCUCGCGGCCUAUCAGCUAGUUGGUGAGGUAAUGGCUCACCAAGGCGACGACGGGUAGCUGGUCUGAGAGGAUGAUCAGCCACAUUGGGACUGAGACACGGCCCAGAUCCCGUAACGGGG